rnacentral:misc_RNA from 1 species
UGCCACUUCUGAUCCCGUCG